rnacentral:rRNA from 1 species
GACGAACGCUGGCGGCGUGCUUAACACAUGCAAGUCGAACGGAAAGGCCCCUUUGGGGGUCCUCGAGUGGCGAACGGGUGAGUAACACGUGAGUAACCUGCCCUUGACUUCGGGAUAACUUCAGGAAACUGGGGCUAAUACCGGAUAGGAAUCCUUGCUGCAUGGUGGGGGUUGGAAAGCUUCGGCGGUUUUGGAUGGACUCGCGGCUUAUCAGCUUGUUGGUGGGGUAGUGGCUUACCAAGGCUUUGACGGGUAGCCGGCCUGAGAGGGCGACCGGCCACAUUGGGACUGAGAUACGGCCCAGACUCCUACGGGAGGCAGCAGUGGGGAAUAUUGCACAAUGGGCGGAAGCCUGAUGCAGCAACGCCGCGGGCGGGAUGACGGCCUUCGGGUUGGAAACCGCGUUCAGCAGGGGCGAAGCUUGUGGUGACGGUACCUGCAGAAGAAGCACCGGCUAACUACGUG